rnacentral:rRNA from 1 species
CCUACGGGCGGCAGCAGUGGGGAAUAUUGGGCAAUGGGCGCAAGCCUGACCCAGCCACGCCGCGUGAAGGAAGAAGGCCUUACGGUUGUAAACUUCUUUUGUCAGGGACGAAAAACGUGCUGCUACCUGACGAAUAAGCCACGGCUAACUACGUGCCAGCAGCCGCGGUAAUACGUAGGUGGCAAGCGUUAUACGGAUUUACUGGGUGUAAAGGGCGUGUAGGCGGGAGAGCAAGGCAGACGUGAAAUUAGAGGGGUCAAACCUGGAACUGCGUUUGACACUGUUCGUCUUGAGUGAUGGAGAGGCAGGCGGAAUUCGGGGUGUAGCGGUGAAAUGCGUAGAUAUACGGAGGAACACCAAUGGCGAAGGCGGCCUGCUGGACAUUAACUGACGCUGAGGCGCGAAAGCGUGGGGAUCAAACAGGAUUAGAUACCCGAGUAGUC